rnacentral:rRNA from 1 species
AUUGAACGCUGGCGGCGUGGAUAAGACAUGCAAGUCGAACGAAACAUCUUGUGUAGCAAUAUAUAAGGUGUUGAGUGGCGAAAGGGUGCGUAACACGUAGCUAUCUACCUUCAAAUGGGGGAUAACGCCGAGAAAUCGGUGCUAAUACCGCAUGUGGUCGAGAGACUAAAAUCGGGGAUCGUAAGACCUGAUGUUUGAAGAUGAGGCUGCGGCCUAUCAGCUUGUUGGCGGGGUAACGGCCCACCAAGGCGAAGACGGGUAGCUGGUCUGAGAGGACGACCAGCCACACUGGAACUGAGACACGGUCCAGACACCUACGGGUGGCAGCAGUCGAGGAUUUUUCUCAAUGGGGGAAACCCUGAAGGAGCGACGCCGCGUGAGGGAUGAAGGUCUUCGGAUUGUAAACCUCUGUCAUCUGGGAUCAAUGCUUACGACCUAACACGUCGUGAGUUGAUAGUACCGGAAGAGGAAGCAGUGGCUAACUCUGUGCCAGCAGCCGCCGUAA